rnacentral:hammerhead_ribozyme from 1 species
AUCCAACCGACGAGUCUCAAAUCUGGACGAAAUGCACGUCUUGGAU